rnacentral:rRNA from 1 species
UCUCAGUCGGACUGGAGUCUGCAACCCGACUCCACGAAGCUGGAUUCGCUAGUAAUCGCGCAUCAGCCACGGCGCGGUGAAUACGUUCCCGGGCCUUGUACACACCGCCCGUCAAGCCAUGGGAGCCGGGGGUACCUGAAGUGCGUAACCGCGAGGAGCGCCCUAGGGUAAAACUGGUGACUGGGGCUAAGUCGUAACAAGGUACC